rnacentral:rRNA from 1 species
UACGUAGGGUGCAAGCGUUAAUCGGAAUUACUGGGCGUAAAGGGUGCGUAGGCGGUUGUUUAAGUCUGUCGUGAAAUCCCCGGGCUCAACCUGGGAAUGGCGAUGGAUACUGGGCAGCUAGAGUGUGUCAGAGGAUGGUGGAAUUCCCGGUGUAGCGGUGAAAUGCGUAGAUAUCCGGAGGAACACCGGUGGCGAAGGCGGCUUCCUGGACCGACACUGACGCUGAGGCGCGAAAGCUAGGGGAGCAAACGGG